rnacentral:tRNA from 1 species
GGCGAGAUGGCAGAGCGGUCUAAUGCGAUAGACUAGAAAUCUAUUCUCUUCGGAGGCGUCGGUUCAAAUCCGACUCUCGUCG